ACAGUCCAGGUGAAAAACACAUGACACAUCGUCUUCUCAGCUUCUAACUUCGUCCAAUCUCCGUUACCCAACCUCCUCUACAAUCAAACCUUUGCUUCAAUCUCCUCUUAAUGGUUUCUUUCCACCUCCCCUCUUUCUCAUUCUUUAUAUACUGUUUUUUUCUUUCUGUUCUACAAACCAAAACCCUAGAACCUGCUCUAUUUAAGCUCAAGCCAUGGCGAUCAAAACAAACGGCAAGUUCUCUGUCUCCUCUGCCAAUGAUCAAGGAGUUAUGUUCUUCAAAAAUAUCUCACCAGGUCCCACGAAACCCAGUUACACUACCUAUCUGAACCCAAUAAAAAGAUCCUUAUUGGUCUGGAAAUGCUCCUCAUCGACGAACAGGAGAAAUGUAUAUGUAAACAUGAUUGAUUUGAGAUUACUGAACUGGUCACUCCACCACCAUCUCUAAUAGCUGGAGUAGAAAAUUGGGAGAUUUAUACAUCUAAAAUAUGGUGGUGUUCUGUGUUGUACAUCUCAGCAUAUAUAUAUAUAUAUAUAUAUAUAUAUAUAUAUAUAUAUUCACUAAAACGUCUUUGUUUGCAUGCCAAAGAGUAUUGUGUUUGUUUAUUUGCUUAUAUGGUUCAGGUGUACUAUAUUUAGCUCUGAUUUCUAUAAAAUUCUUAAGUUGUUUGGAAUUUCCUUGCAGUUCUUCAACUAAUGUUGCUCAUAUUUUGGUUAGUAUCAGGUACCUCAAUAUUGACACAUCUGGAAGGUGAGCCAGGUUCUGAUGUCUUAUCACAGCAAUAAAUAUUGCUAAAAAGAGUAGGCUUUAUAAUGCUUCCUUUCAAUCUUUAAUUACUUACUAGAAAUUUAGACCAUACUAACGCCAGAGAAGAAAGAUGGGAUUUUACAUCCUGGGUUUGUUCAGUUAAUCUAAUUGUUCUUUUGUUCAACCGUGGAUGUUAGGGUAUUCAACUAUAAUCAUUUUUAAUUAAACAAUAGUCUUGAAAUAAUUUAUCUCCUGUCUACUCUUUGUUUGAUUCCAAAAUUCAAAUUUGUGGUCUUCCAUAUGGAAUUCAUGUUGCAGUGUUGUGAUAAAUUGGUUCCAAUAUAUAUUAAAUUGUAUGGGAUCAGGCAUGUGCGGAAGAAGAGCUCAAACAAAGUCGGUGAAGCAGCAAACCAACAUGGAAAAAAACAUAUGGUUACGGAAAGCUUUAAAUUGAAAAAGGAAGAAAGUGUUGUUUUUUGAGACUGUCAAGUCUCAGGUUGGAAAAUAUUGCAUCUAUCAGUUAAAUGAUUAGAUGAGAGAUUGGAUUUAGGUGACAGUGAACCAGGGUUUGAUGCUGAUCAUGAAUAUGGUGAAGGGGAGUUUGAAGAGAGAGAAUUGAAGCAAGAGGAACAUGGGUUGGUUAAUCAGAUGGAUGAAAAACUUGAGGAGGAAACAGAGGCCGAUGAAAAUGCAGGUGAGUUUACCGACGACAUUGGGAGGGGCUAGAGUGUCAAAGUAGUUAUGUGCAUGCUUAUGAUGAAAUUAAGCGUGGAGAAGCUGUUGAUGUGUAAGAAGAAAGAGAAGAGCAUCAUGAUGUGCUCCAUGACAGACGCUCGCUUAAGAAGUUUGAAAUAUUUGUUAGAAGCUUGGACAAAAGUACUACGGAAGAAGUUUUGAGAAAGUGUUUGUCCUGUGGCGCAGUGACUGAAAUAAAAUGAGGAUUAUAAUGAAAUGCAAGGGUUAUGAUUAGGCAAAAUGAGAUAUCCAAUAGUAAUCUUCUAUACUUAAGUAUUAGAUCGAGAGUUUGUGUAACUUUAUAGUGUACAUAAUGCUCUUGGUCAUCGUAUGUUCAACCAGUAUGUAUAAGGAUUGACCAUAUUUAGGCAAGUCUAUGCAUGGAUUGACCAUAUAUUAUCAAAUCUGAUGUUCUUUUAUUC